ACUAAAUAAUAUUUUCAAUCUAUGUAUUUUUACAACUUUUUUUUUUCUUACAGUAACUUAGAAAAAAUAAGCUACUGCAUCAGAUAUGACACACUAAAAACGUAUGAAUAGUACCUAUAUUAUUAUUCUUUUUCUUUUAUUUUAUCAUUCAUUAUUUCAUUAUUAUUAUUACUAAUUUUUUUAUUAUUAUCGCUAUUAUAUUAUUGUUGAUGAAAUUGUUUCAAAGAUUUUCCAGGGAUUUUUUCACAUACCACUGUUUAAUGAAAAUAAUUUUUGAACUAAAUUUACAAAUUACAUAACUAAGUUAAUAAUAAAAUUGCAAAUUGGAACUUUUAAUUUUUUUAAUAUCAUAUUUUCGAUUAAUUAAAUAAAAAUUGAUUGAAUUAAUAAAUAAACAAUAAAUAAAUAAAUAACUAUUUUCAACUAGGGAAAUUAAUAUUUAAAAUAUUUUCAAAUAAUAAAAAUAUUUAUUUAAUUUAAAAAAAUAGAAUUAUAUAUUUUUCAAUUACCAUCAACCAAAGUAAUUAUAACGUCCAUGAAGUUCACAGCGUUUAUAAUUAACGAUAUUUAGAAGAAAAACUAUUUUUCUAUGCAAAUUCUAUAAUUUCUAUAAUUUUUUGUCUAAAAACAUUUUUAUAACGUUUCUUGAUCAACAAUUUUUAGAAGAAAAUAAUUUGUAAAAAAUAUAAAUAUUAAUUAUUAAAAUUUUAAAUAAUUUUAUAAUAUUUAAAUAUUCCCGCGCUCUGAAGAAAGGUAUAUUAAAAGCAAAGAAUUAUGGAUUAUAUUUUGAAAUUUUGUAAAAAUACAUAUACAUUGAUAUUUAAUUCUUCACUAUACAUCAAAAAUAUUCAAUAAAAACUGGUAUAAAUUUUACACAAAUAAAGAAACUUUUAAAGUAAAACUAUCGUGAACAUAACCUAUAAUUCUUUUGCUUCUAAGGUCGCUUUCUUCACAGCGCAUUACAAUAAUGUAUAUCUUGUGGAAUCUUCUAAAUUUUUAUAUCAGUAUUUUAUAAAAUAUUUCAAGUAAGUGUUUGUCAAUUAUGUUGAGAUAAUGUUUAUGUGGUACGCUAACUUUUUAUUUGCGAUAUUUCAAAGAGAAAAGUGUGAAAAAUGAUAAAAAUUAGAAUUUUCUGGGAAGUUUUUUAAAAAAACUAUAACAUAAAGGACAGGAAUGUUGAUCCAGAAUAAAUGGCCACAGAAUAAAAUAAAUUUCCUGGAAUAUUGGGAGGAAUUCUUUGUUUGGUCCAGAGGAACUGACCCAGAUGCUGUUAGUCGUGAAAAUCCUCGAUCGGCACUAAUUUUUCAACAUCCGGAAAACUAGUCAGAGCCUUAGCAGUUUGCCAAGUAAAAUAUCUACAAAUAUGUCAGCCUGGCUGUGUGGUCGGAGUACACGGCCCGCGUUCCAAGGGUUCUAGAUUCGAUUCCCCACAUGCGGAGAACGAAAACGAUUCAGAAAACAGUAGGUUAGAGAAAGGAUAGGUAUAUUACAGUCUGUUGGUAUCUCUGGUGAUGCUGCAAAAAUGAAACAGAGGUUGACAUCAAUGGCUUAAGAGUUGAAAUGAAUUCAUAGAAAAGAGGUCACUAUUAUUGGAAAAGCUUGAUACAACCUUUUAAAGGAAUAGUCCUUAUUAAGUAUUAUACAUAUGUAGUGUACCAAUCAUGUAAUAAUAAAGUCAUAACGUAUUUAACGGUAUUUAAUGGAGUAUUUUUUUAAAAGAAUAAUAACAAUAAUAAAUUG